rnacentral:rRNA from 2 species
AGAGUUUGAUCAUGGCUCAGAACGAACGCUGGCGGCAGGCUUAACACAUGCAAGUCGAACGCACCCUUCGGGGUGAGUGGCAGACGGGUGAGUAACACGUGGGAACGUGCCCUUCAGUUCGGAAUAACCCAGGGAAACUUGGGCUAAUACCGGAUACGCCCUUUUUGGGGAAAGAUUGAUCGCUGAAGGAUCGGCCCGCGUCUGAUUAGCUGGUUGGUGAGGUAAAGGCUCACCAAGGCGACGAUCAGUAGCUGGUCUGAGAGGAUGAUCAGCCACACUGGGACUGAGACACGGCCCAGACUCCUACGGGAGGCAGCAGUGGGGAAUAUUGGACAAUGGGCGCAAGCCUGAUCCAGCCAUGCCGCGUGAGUGAUGAAGGCCUUAGGGUUGUAAAGCUCUUUCGGCGGGGACGAUAAUGACGGUACCCGCAGAAGAAGCCCCGGCUAACUUCGUGCCAGCAGCCGCGGUAAUACGAAGGGGGCUAGCGUUGUUCGGAAUCACUGGGCGUAAAGGGCGCGUAGGCGGCUUUGUCAGUCGGGGGUGAAAGCCUGUGGCUCAACCACAGAAUUGCCUUCGAUACUGCAAGGCUUGAGACCGGAAGAGGUCAGUGGAACUGCGAGUGUAGAGGUGAAAUUCGUAGAUAUUCGCAAGAACACCAGUGGCGAAGGCGGCUGACUGGUCCGGAUCUGACGCUGAGGCGCGAAAGCGUGGGGAGCAAACAGGAUUAGAUACCCCGGUAGUCC